AGAAUAGAGGCUAAGGGAUAGCAGUUGGCUUGAAACCAUUGUUAGGAGGUUCGAGUCCUCCCUUUCUUG
rnacentral:tRNA from 1 species